rnacentral:rRNA from 1 species
AAGCACCUACGGGGGCGCAGCAGUGAGGAAUAUUGGUCAAUGGGAGAGAUCCUGAACCAGCCAAGCCGCGUGAGGGAAGACGGCCCUAUGGGUUGUAAACCUCUUUUGUCGGAGAACAAAACCCGGGACGAGUCCCGGACUGCGUGUAUCCGAAGAAAAAGCAUCGGCUAACUCCGUGCCAGCAGCCGCGGUAAUACGGAGGAUGCGAGCGUUAUCCGGAUUUAUUGGUUUU